rnacentral:lncRNA from 1 species
UCUCCAUGCAACCAAGCACGAGGUGGUAGGCCACAUGGCUACCACCAAUCCACCCAAGUAUGAGGUGGCAUUCCACUAACUUCAAUUUCCCAAUUUUGCACUUUAGUCCUUCAAGUUAUCAAAAAUAAAACUCAUAAUUGCCCAUUAGUCCUUUAGGUUUUCAUAACCCUAAUCAGUCCCUAAGAAUCUAAUAAGCAUGCUUAGGUCAUUAACUAAUCUCAAUUAACCUUAAUCAAACUUUAAUUCAUUAUUAAAUAGGUUUAACACUAAACUAGUUUUAAUAUUUAAUUAAGCAUGUUUAAAGUUAAGUAUUAAGAUAAUCAUUAUCGUCUAUUUAAUUCAUUAGUACUAGAUGUCACAUCAUCCCUCUUCAUGGAGUUUUUUUUUUUCAAUUCAUCCUUAUUUCCUAAUUUUGUUUAUGACAUCACCUUUCCUAGAGUUUCUUUAAGGCAUCCCCUACCCUUAGUUUGUUUAGAUCAUCCCAUUUCCUUGAUUAUUAUUAGGGAAUCUCCCUUCCUUGACUUUGUUUAGGACAUCCCCUUUUCUUUUAGUUUUUUUUUUAGCAUCCCCCUUCCUUGAGUUUUUUUAGGGCAUCCAUUUUCCUCGAGUGUUAUCAUGACACCCCCCUUCCUUUAGUUUGCCUGGGCCAUGGGGUUCCUUUAGUUUCCUUAGUGCAUCACCCUUCCUUCACAUUCUUAGGUCAUUCCUCUUCAUGGAGAUUGUUUAGUUCAUUCCCCUUCCUAGAGUUUGUGUAGAGCAUUCGCCUUAGUUGAAUUUGUUUAAAGCCAUCCCUACUAAGUGUUUAUUCAAUGCACUCCCACUUCCUUAAGUUUUAUAGGGCAUCCACCUUCUUAGAGUUUUUUAAGGACAUCCCAUGUCCUAGAAUUUGUUUAUGGCAUACAGUUUCAUUAAGGCAUCCUUUCCUUUAGUUCUUGUGGGGAAUCCCCUCCUUCCUUGAUUUUCUCUAGGACAUCCCCUUUCCUUUAGUUUGUUUAAAGUAUUGUCAUUCCAUGAAUUUGUUUAGGGCAUUCCCCUUCCUUUAGUUUGUUUAGGGCAUCCCUAUUUCUUGAGUUACAUUAGGGCAUCUCCCUUUCUUGAGUUUCUUAGGUCAAUCCUCUUCAUGGAGACUGUUUAGUUCAUUCCCUUUCCUGGACUUUGUGUAGAGCAUCCCCUUUCUUUAAGUUUGUUUAGGACAUCCCCCUUUCAAUAGUUGAUUUAGUGCACC